GACGAACGCUGGCGGCGUGCCUAAUACAUGCAAGUAGAACGCACAGUUUAUACCGUAGCUUGCUACACCAUAAACUGUGAGUUGCGAACGGGUGAGUAACGCGUAGGUAACCUGCCUGGUAGCGGGGGAUAACUAUUGGAAACGAUAGCUAAUACCGCAUAAUAUUGAUUAUUGCAUGAUAAUUGAUUGAAAGAUGCUAUUGCAUCACUACCAGAUGGACCUGCGUUGUAUUAGCUAGUAGGUGAGGUAACGGCGCACCUAGGCGACGAUACAUAGCCGACCUGAGAGGGUGAUCGGCCACACUGGGACUGAGACACGGCCCAGACUCCUACGGGAGGCAGCAGGAGGGAAUCUUCGGCAAUGGACGAAAGUCUGACCGAGCAACGCCGCGUGAGUGAAGAAGGUUGUCGGAUCGUAAAGCUCUGCUGUAAGAGAAGAACGGGUGUGAGAGUGGAAAGUUCACACUGUGACGGUAUCUUACCAGAAAGGGACGGCUAACUACGUG
rnacentral:rRNA from 1 species